CAGUAGCCACGGGAAUACGAAGGGGGCUAGCGUUGUUCGGAUUUACUGGGCGUAAAGCGCACGUAGGCGGACUUUUAAGUCAGGGGUGAAAUCCCGGGGCUCAACCCCGGAACUGCCUUUGAUACUGGGAGUCUUGAGUUCGAGAGAGGUGAGUGGAAUUGCGAGUGUAGAGGUGAAAUUCGUAGAUAUUCGCAGGAACACCAGUGGCGAAGGCGGCUCACUGGCUCGAUACUGACGCUGAGGUGCGAAAGCGUGGGGAGCAAACAGGAUUAGAUACCCGAGUAGUCCCUGUCUCUUAUAC
rnacentral:rRNA from 1 species